rnacentral:piRNA from 1 species
CUUUUGUUCGGUCUUUAAAGU